rnacentral:rRNA from 1 species
GAUGAACGCUAGCGGCAGGCUUAACACAUGCAAGUCGAACGGCAGCACAGGUAGCAAUACUGGGUGGCGAGUGGCGCACGGGUGCGUAACACAUAUGUAACUUGCCCCUAACUGGAGAAUAGCCCGGAGAAAUUCGGAUUAAUGUUCCAUAAUAUAACGGAGUGGCAUCACUUUGUUAUUAAAGUAUUACGGUUAGGGAUAGACAUGCGUUCGAUUAGCUAGUUGGCGGGGAACGGCCCACCAAGGCUACGAUCGAUAGGGGACCUGAGAGGGGUAUCCCCCACACUGGUACUGAGACACGGACCAGACUCCUACGGGAGGCAGCAGUGAGGAAUAUUGGACAAUGGCCGCAAGGCUGAUCCAGCCAUGCCGCGUGCAGGAUGACGGCCCUAUGGGUUGUAAACUGCUUUUCUACGGGAAUAAACCCCCUUACGUGUAAGGAGCUGAAGGUACCGUAGGAAUAAGCACCGGCUAACUCCGUGCCAGCAGCCGCCGUAA